rnacentral:rRNA from 1 species
AUUUCGACAGAUCCCUUCGGGGUGAAGAUGAAAUGGAUUAGCGGCGGACGGGUGAGUAACACGUGAGUAACCUGCCUUAGACAUUGGGAUAGCCUCGGGAAACCGGGAUUAAUACCAAAUGAAAUCACAUAUGCACAUGCAUAAAUGAUCAAAGCUCCGGCGGUCUAAGAUGGACUCGCGUCCCAUUAGCUAGUUGGUGAGGUAACGGCCCACCAAGGCGACGAUGGGUAGCCGGCCUGAGAGGGUGAACGGCCACAUUGGAACUGAGAAACGGUCCAAACUCCUACGGGAGGCAGCAGUGGGGAAUAUUGCACAAUGGAGGGAACUCUGAUGCAGCGACGCCGCGUGAACGAAGAAGGCUUUCGAGUCGUAAAGUUCUUUUAUAUGGGAAGAUAAUGACGGUACCAUAAGAAAAAGCCCCGGCUAACUACGUGCCAGCAGCCGCGGUAAUACGUAGGGGGCUAGCGUUGUCCGGAAUCACUGGGCGUAAAGGGUUCGCAGGCGGAAAUGCAAGUCAGGUGUAAAAGGCAGUAGCUUAACUACUGUAAGCAUUUGAAACUGCAUAUCUUGAGAAGAGUAGAGGUAAGUGGAAUUUUUAGUGUAGCGGUGAAAUGCGUAGAUAUUAAAAAGAAUACCGGUGGCGAAGGCGACUUACUGGGCUCAUUCUGACGCUGAGGAACGAAAGCGUGGGUAGCAAACAGGAUUAGAUACCCUGGUAGUCCACGCUGUAAACGAUGAGUGCUAGGUAUCGGAAUAAUUCGGUGCCGCAGUUAACACAUUAAGCACUCCGCCUGGGGAGUACGC